CAGCCGCCGCGGGAAUACGAGGGGUGCAAGCGUUACUCGGAAUUACUGGGCGUAAAGCGUGCGUAGGUGGUGGUUUAAGUCCGUUGUGAAAGCCCUGGGCUCAACCUGGGAAUUGCAGUGGAUACUGGAUCACUAGAGUGUGGUAGAGGAUAGUGGAAUUUCCGGUGUAGCAGUGAAAUGCGUAGAGAUCGGAAGGAACAUCUGUGGCGAAGGCGACUAUCUGGGCCAACACUGACACUGAGGCACGAAAGCGUGGGGAGCAAACAGGAUUAGAUACCCCGGUAGUCCCUGUCUCUUAUAC
rnacentral:rRNA from 1 species